UAACAAUGAUAAUAGAGAUGAUAAUAGAGAUCGAACGUGUUUUAUUACGCAUCGCUGAUGAUUUCGAAAGAGAUAACUUGAUUAUUUCUCGAAUCUUCGAAUCAAUUCAAUGUCAAAUGCGUUUCUUAUUUCAAUUUCUCGAUUUAUCAUAAGUGGGUUAUUCGACAUCUGUGUUUAUACACCGAGUUCAAAUAUCCCCGUGACACAUUCAAAGUAUGUCUCGUUGUAACGUUCAUAUUUCGCGCUUUUCCGUAAACUUUUACUGCCGCCGGCUGUUAUGCUUUCUCUUGAACUGUCCCUUCGAAUGAAUUUCAUUAUAUAUAAACAAAAAACAACGGAUAUGCAAAUAUAAAUAAAUUAACGUAUCUCGUAUAUAAAUUUUACAAAGCGUUCGUCAUAAGAGUUUAUUUCUAUGUACGAUAUCUGACACGCACAUCUUUAUCGCACACAGAGAGCUACAGUUUCACUAUGAACUUGAAGUAAGGAACGUAUAGAAGAGUCGCAGUCAUUGACUUUGAAAAUAUCUAGUGAGCGGUCAGUGGCGCAGUACCGUGUGCAAGAGACUUUAACGGGCGAUCAAACAACGACGCGUGACCAGGAAGACACGUUCCGACGAAAUUUUGACUUUUUCGUAUGACCUGAAUCGUGUGUAUAUCUUCAUUGCAAUAAACCAUACUUAUUUUCAUUUUACAUUCAGUUGAAAAUAAUUAACCUAAAAUUCAUAAAUUAUUUCUCUUUCGUACAUACGUGUCAUCGGAAAUGGCCGCCAUUACAAUCUCCAGCAUAACGACAGGCCGAAAAAAGUUACUUAAAACCAGACUAAAAUAAAAUUUAUGUUAAUUCUUUGCACACUCACGAUUCGAGAUGAUACAACGAACUAUCGAUCGACCGAUCGGAAAACAAUGCGAGGAUCGUGUAUCAUCGAUUAAUCGAAACGUACAAUUGAGAAGACGAUACUACGACGAUGAUGAGAACAACGGAGACAGCCGUGGCUCGUUCCGGAGGAUAGGCCACGGUGCUUCUGACCGGCACGUUAAACAACGCGAUCACUCUCGGCUACCUUCGGCACGGUUCGGGCGUAGCCAGGUGGAAGUCGGAUUAUGGAGAUGGAAAAGUAGCAGCGGUAUCUAUGAUCGUACAUCGGUGUAUAAUCGUAUGGCAUGCGUCUACAAAAGGUCGAAUUAUUUACGACUUUGUCGCCUCCUACCCCGUUUUAUUUUCUUAAAUUUUAUUUUUGAUUUUUUUGGCACGCUUUCGGAACAACACAUUUGUACGUUGUUACACAUCGUUUUUCUGUAUGAAGUAUCUCUUUUUAUUACGUUUUCACUUUACUUUAAGGAAUUUUGAUGAUAAUUAGGAAUACGGAGUUUCGAACGUUUAUAGUCUAUCAUUGAUAUUUUACAAAGAAUUUUACAAAGAACUUACGAUUACCUUUAUGCGUUAUCUUUGUUUUAUAUUUAAGAAUACAAAUUAUCGACAAUUAAAUGAUAAAGAAGAUUUGAAUCAUAUGCCAAUGAAAAUAAUAAACGACGUAUCAUUAAUGUUGAAAAUAUAUUUUUUACUUCGUUUAUGAUCGGUUUGUAUCAUUAUAUACGAUUGGAUGUAUACACAUAUUUUUGUUCUUUCUUUACAGCUAUAUAUCUUAUAAUAUACAUACUAAUGCAUAAAGUUGAUGGUGAAAUACAGUGAUCGCUUUACCGAAAAUGUUUAUCAUUUAACAUUCGCUCAACGUAAUACGAAAUGUGUCUUUAUGUAACGAGAACAAUUUUGACAAUGAAUUCAGAUAGCAUACAUUUCGUUAGUAAUAAUUGUCAUUUUCUCAAACGAUUAAAUUUUAAUAAAAUAUUUUAUCUAGGGACGUAACAGUAAUGAAAUUUUCAUCAAAGAAUUGUAUAAUAAACAUUUUUUUUUCAAAAUUAUCUUACGAAUGUACAUUUCUUAUGUAUAAUACUUUUGAAAACUUUGUUGAUAAUACUUAUUAUACAGCGCAUUUUCAUCGUAAAUAAGAUAAUUACAUUAACCAAGUAAUAGCACUUUUUUUAUAAUAAGAAGCACGUACAACUUAUUGUAAUAGUAUAUAUUCUUCGUUGGCAUACAAAAUAUUUAUGAUAGCAUGUAAAGAUACUAUAUAUGACCUCAACAAAACGAGUACAAUUGUAUCUUUUAACGUAGUUUGAUUGAACUGUAAGAUACAAUCGAAUUUGAAAAAUAUAAAAAAUGAAGAAAA